GAUGAACGCUAGCGGCAGGCCUAAUACAUGCAAGUCGAACGGGAUCCAGAUCAAAGCUUGCUUUUGUCUGGUGCGAGUGGCGCACGGGUGCGUAACGCGUGAGCAACCUACCCUUGUCAGGGGGAUAGCCCGGCGAAAGUCGGAUUAAUACCGCAUGACAUCAUCGCAAGGCAUCUUUCUAUGAUCAAAGAUUUAUCGGACAAGGAUGGGCUCGCGUGACAUUAGCUCGUUGGUAAGGUAACGGCUUACCAAGGCUGCGCUGUCUAGGGGCUCGGAGAGGGGAAUCCCCCACACUGGAACCGAGACACGGACCAGACUCCUACGGGAGGCAGCAGUAAGGAACAUUAGUCAAUGGACGGAAGUGUGAACCAGCCAUGCCGCGUGCAGGAGGACGGCCCUAUGGGUUGUAAACUGCUUUUAUACGAGAACAGACGUCGGUACGUGUACCGGUCUGAGUGUACCGUAAGAAUAAGGAUCGGCUAACUCCGUG
rnacentral:rRNA from 1 species